AGUGAACGCUGGCGGCGCGCUUAACACAUGCAAGUCGCACGAGAAAAGGGCAACCUUAGUAAAGUGGCGUACGGGUGAGUAACACGUGGAUCAUAUACCUUUUAGUGGGGAAUAACUUUGGGAACCGAAGCUAAUACCGCAUAAGCCCGAGAGGGGAAAGGCAGCAAUGCGCUGAAAGAGUAGUCCGCGGCUGAUUAGCUAGUUGGUGAGGUAAUGGCUCACCAAGGCUUUGAUCGGAGCCGGCCUGAGAGGGCUCACGGCCACACUGGCACUGAACACGGGCCAGACUCCUACGGGAGGCAGCAGUGGGGAUAUUGCGCAAUGGGCGGAAGCCUGACGCAGCGACGCCGCGUGAGGGAUGACGG
rnacentral:rRNA from 1 species